ACUCCUACGGGAGGCAGCAGUGGGGAAUUUUGCGCAAUGGGGGAAACCCUGACGCAGCAACGCCGCGUGAGUGAUGAAGGCCUUUGGGUCGUAAAGCUCUGUCAGAGGGGAAGAAAUGAUAUAGUGCUAAUACCACUUUAUCUUGACGGUACCCUCAAAGGAAGCACCGGCUAACUCCGUGCCAGCAGCCGCGGUAAUACGGAGGGUGCGAGCGUUGUUCGGAUUUAUUGGGCGUAAAGCGCGUGUAGGCGGUUUUUUAAGUCUGAUGUGAAAGCCCCGGGCUCAACCUGGGAAGUGCAUUGGAUACUGGGAGACUUGAAUACGGGAGAGGGUAGUGGAAUUCCUAGUGUAGGAGUGAAAUCCGUAGAUAUUAGGAGGAACACCGGUGGCGAAGGCGGCUACCUGGACCGAUAUUGACGCUGAGACGCGAAAGCGUGGGGAGCAAACAGGAUUAGAUACCCUGGUAGUCCACGCCGUAAACGAUGAGUACUAGGUGUUGCGGGUAUUGACCCCUGCAGUGCCGCAGCUAACGCAUUAAGUACUCCGCCUGGGAAGUACGGUCGCAAGACUAAAACUCAAAUGAAUUGACGG
rnacentral:rRNA from 1 species